rnacentral:lncRNA from 1 species
CGCCCCGGGGCUGAAAUAGCUGGAGAUUGCGCGGUAGGGCACUCACCUCAGAGCGGCUGCGCUACCGUGGGCCUGCGCCGUGGAGACUGCGACCGCGCCGGCUCCUCGCAGCCUCCUGCCACCAGCGGCAAUGGCGAGCGCUGCCGCCUCUGCCGCCGCCGCCGCCGCCGAGGAGGGGGAGGGGAGGGAGAGGAGGCACGCACGCCGGGGCUGAAAUAGCUGGAGAUUGCGCGGUAGGGCACUCACCUCAGAGCGGCUGCGCUACCGUGGGCCUGCGCCGUGGAGACUGCGACCGCGCCGGCUCCUCGCAGCCUCCUGCCACCAGCGGCAAUGGCGAGCGCUGCCGCCUCUGCCGCCGCCGCCGCCGCCGAGGAGGGGGAGGGGAGGGAGAGGAGGCACGCACGCGACGCACGGGCUCAGCUUCCCCGCCCGGCGGCCGCCAUGAUGGGGAGGUCGGCGCUGCCUCGGCGGGGCGGGCCCGGAGGGGUUUCUGGGCGAGGGUCCCUGCCGGCCCGUGCGGUCUCCUGGAGGCCACAUUUAGUUCGAAAGGUCUGGAUGGGACCGGAACCACGGAGGCAACUGGAUUAGUCAAGUGUGGACUCUCGGGAGAGUGGCGCGGGCAGCCCAAGAUGGAUGCUAAUCUGGAAAUAGUAACAUUUCUCGCCCCGCAGCCCCGAGAAUUCUAGCACCUCCUGAAUGAGCCUCGACAGUCGGGAACGGGCUUCCCCGCGUUUUCCUCAGCCUUGGCAGUCGCGUCUUCACCCUUUAUUUGGAAUGACCUUUGUUUCCCAAACCCUAACCAGGCCAACAGCUCAGGAGAUGACUGCCACACCAAGAAUACCCAGGGUCGGUCACCCAGCUCAGGGCUCCCGCAGCCUCGCCGGAGGGCAUCGCUCCAGAGGGUCACGUCGCGCUCCUGACGAGCACACGCGCAGGGGACCAGGCUGCCGCUGCCGGGGUGGAGCGGAGGCUCUGAUCGCCCGGGGAGGAGGCGGCUGCUCGCUUGGAGGUCAAGUCCGUGGAUCCCUGGCCGGUGCUGGCAAAGUCCGGGGCGGACUCCCAAGGCGGCCAAACGGGAGAAAAAGAAGACAGGCUGACCAAGCAGUGGGGGCGGACAGCGCUUUGUCAGCGUGGGGCCCACCUUUGGCAAGAAGCCCCUAGUGCCAACUCAAGUCCAUUGUUGUUCUGGCUUUCCCCCAAACAGUCAACAACAACAACAACAACUGAACAAAUCUGUUACUCACAGUUCCUAAGAGGAGGGCACAGUGCCACUCAGGCCUCACACAGGAACCACAGCGUCAGGAGGGGAAAGCAGGGGCUGCCGUUCAGUGGGGUUUUUGCUGGAAGGAAUAGAGGAGGCAGGGUAGGCAAGCUGAGCAGGCUUAGGAGGGGAUAGUUAGGGUAAUAAUCUCAGUGGGCUCUAGCUCCAGGGGCGUCCCUAGAUGUCUUGCAUCUGGCCCUGGGAUGACUUAGGCUAAGGGGAUAGUGUCCUGACUGUUGGAACCUGAUAAUGGGAGGUGAAUGGGGGAGAGAGGGGCGGGUCGGUUGGUUUCCAUAUCAAAGCUAGGCUCAGGGGCAAAUUGUUUGCUACUUCUAGAAAGCAGCUCACCAUGGGAGGGGCAGUCCCUCUCUGCGCCUGCAACGCCUGGGGACAUCAAAACUCACAAAAUACAGAUAUAGAGCAGACUGUCAGAAUGUGCAUCAGGGAGUCUUCGAGAGGCUGCAGCCUUGCUGUGAACCCCACGCAGUGAGGUAGAGCAUGAAAAAUGAGCACCAUGUGAAAGCAGGAGGCUCCCAGGUUCUGGCAACAGCUCCCUUGGGCGAUCAGCUAGUGUGGUGCAAACACGCUCUCACUCUCCCAGAGGGUGCAGCUUGGGGUGGACGCAAGCUUUGGCUUUGGAGUCAGACCUGGUUGGGUCCCGCCGUAUGACCAGGGGUAAGUGACUUCACCCUCUGAGCCCCAGAGGAUCAUUGGGAGAAUUAAAGAAAUUUGAGGACAGAGGCUUCUCCAUGUAGGCUAGUCCGAGUUGCACAACUGCCUAAGAGACCUCUCUGGAACUGGUUUAAAAUAAUGCUGAUUGCCUGGCUCCAC